GGGUGGCGAGCGGCGGACGGGUGAGUAAUGCCUAGGAAAUUGCCCUGAUGUGGGGGAUAACCAUUGGAAACGAUGGCUAAUACCGCAUGAUGCCUACGGGCCAAAGAGGGGGACCUUCGGGCCUCUCGCGUCAGGAUAUGCCUAGGUGGGAUUAGCUAGUUGGUGAGGUAAUGGCUCACCAAGGCGACGAUCCCUAGCUGGUCUGAGAGGAUGAUCAGCCACACUGGAACUGAGACACGGUCCAGACUCC
rnacentral:rRNA from 1 species